rnacentral:lncRNA from 1 species
GCAACAAGUCAUGCUUUUAGGCUUGCCUAAGCUCUGAUUUAAUAGCAUCACAAUGUGGCUCACGCAUAUUCCAUGCUGUCACGUUAUCUCUGUGUAAUGAUGAAUGAGUGAAAAAAAUCUACAUGUACUAAUGUCUAUGACUGCUAAUUUAUACAUACAGUAGAAGGCAAUAAAAACUUCGCGUUCCGUUUACGUUGAACGGCGAUUAAACUGUAGCGCCGUUUCCGUUUUUAUUGUGGUUAUUCCGUUCAUGGUCCGUUGGGUCUGGGCACUACCGUUUUUGUUUUCAUGAGCAACGCUCCAAGCGUUGCUCGACUUUUCUCUUUUCUAACAGUUUCUUCAGGAGUCAGGCUUUCUUAGAUACACUUACAGAAUGACUACGAGCCAUGGUUGAUGAUAAAACGAGACAGGACGACAGGUAGUCACAAGAAAGAGUGCUCUGUCAAGCAAAGAAGCAGCUAUUAUAUUAUUAUCAUUUAUAAAAUAAAAUCAUGUAAUUAUAGACCUGCUAG